rnacentral:tRNA from 2 species
GGGCCGUUAGCUCAAUUAGGCAGAGCACCUGACUCUUAAUCAGUAGGUUGAAGGUUCGAUUCCUUCACGGCCCACCA